rnacentral:rRNA from 1 species
GACGAACGCUGGCGGCGUGCUUAACACAUGCAAGUCGAACGGUGAAGCGCCUUCCUUUUUGGUGGGUGUGGAUGAGUGGCGAACGGGUGAGUAACACGUGAGUAACCUGCCCCCUUCUUCUGGAUAACCGCAUGAAAGUGUGGCUAAUACGGGAUAUUCUGGGUCUGUCGCAUGAUGGGUCUGGGAAAGAUAUUGUUUCGGUGGGGGAUGGGCUCGCGGCCUAUCAGCUUGUUGGUGGGGUGAUGGCCUACCAAGGCGGUGACGGGUAGCCGGCCUGAGAGGGUGGACGGUCACACUGGGACUGAGACACGGCACAGACUCCUACGGGAGGAAGCAGUGGGGAAUGUUGCACAAUGGGCGCAAGCCUGAUGCAGCGACGCCGCGUGAGGGAUGGAGGCCUUCGGGUUGUGAACCUCUUUCGCCAGUGAAGCAGGCCUGCCUCGUUUGUGGGUGGGUUGACGGUAGCUGGAUAAGAAGCGCCGGCUAACUACGUG